rnacentral:lncRNA from 1 species
GGGAGAUUUACCUUACUCCUACGAACCAGAGAUUUAUGAGUUCGAGGACUUGGUUAUGCUAGAUUUCUCUAACGCCCUUUCGGUACCUUUCUCUUUUAUUUCGAAAAAUGUUUGGUAGGCAGCUUGAAUUGAUUUUAAAUCUAUCUUCCUAACAUAUGAGGUGAUCGUGCGGGUGCGCAAUCCACUAAUUUAACACCCAGGUAAACAAUAAAUAAAUUGCAGAAACUUACCUCAAAGCAACGAAAUCAUCUGCAAUGUUAAAUUAAAAACCACAUCAAC